rnacentral:rRNA from 1 species
AUUAGCUAGUUGGUAGGGUAACGGCCUACCAAGGCGACGAUCCGUAACUGGUCUGAGAGGACGACCAGUCACACCGGAACUGAGACACGGUCCGGACUCCUACGGGAGGCAGCAGUGGGGAAUAUUGGACAAUGGGGGCAACCCUGAUCCAGCGACGCCGCGUGGGUGAAGAAGGCCUGCGGGUUGUAAAGCCCUUUCGGUUGGGAAGAAAAGCUGUGACCUAACACGUCGCGGCCUUGACGUAACCAACUAAAGAAGCACCGGCUAACUCUGUGCCAGCAGCCGCGGUAAUACAGAGGGUGCGAGCGUUAAUCGGAAUUACUGGGCGUAAAGCGCGCGUAGGCGGCUUUGUAAGUCGGUUGUGAAAUCCCCGGGCUCAACCUGGGAACUGCAUCCGAGACUGCAUGGCUAGAGUAUGGGAGAGGGAAGUGGAAUUUCAGGUGUAGCGGUGAAAUGCGUAGAUAUCUGAAGGAACAUCAGUGGCGAAAGCGACUUCCUGGACCAAUACUGACGCUCAUGUGCGAAAGCGUGGGGAGCAAGCAGGAUUAGAUACCCUGGUAGUCCACGCCAU